rnacentral:rRNA from 1 species
AUGGUAGGAUAGAGGCCUACCAUGGUGGUAACGGGUAACGGGGUGUUAGGGCACGACACCGGAGAGGGAGCCUGAGAAACGGCUACCACAUCCAAGGAUGGCAGCAGGCGCGCAAAUUACCCAAUCCCGACACGGGGAGGUAGUGACAAUAAAUAACAAUACGGGGUUCUUUAGGAUCUCGUAAUUGGAAUGAGUACAAUUUAAAUCUCUUAACGAGGAACAAUUGGAGGGCAAGUCUGGUGCCAGCAGCCGCGGUAAUUCCAGCUCCAAUAGCGUAUAUUAAAGUUGUUGCAGUUAAGAAGCUCGUAGUUGAAUUUCGGGGUUAGUAGGUUGGCCAUGCCUCUGGUAUGUACUGGUCUCACUGAUUCCUCCUUCCUUAUGAACCGUAAUGCCAUUAAUUUGGUGUUGCGGGGAAUUUGGACUGUUACUUUGAAAAAAUUAGAGUGUUUAAAGCAAGCUAACGCUUGAAUACAUUAGCAUGGAAUAAUGAAAUAGGACGUUCGAUCUUAUUUUGUUGGUUUCUAGGAUUGACGUAAUGAUUAAUAGGGAUAGUUGGGGGCAUUAGUAUUCAAUUGUCAGAGGUGAAAUUCUUGGAUUUAUUGAAGACUAACUACUGCGAAAGCAUUUGCCAAGGAUGUUUUCAUUAAUCAAGAACGAAAGUUAGGGGAUCGAAGACGAUCAGAUACCGUCGUAGUCUUAACCAUAAACUAUGCCGACUAGGGAUCGGAUGA